UGGAAGACAAGAAAAGCUGGGUGAGCUAGGUCGUAGAGAUCAGAGGCAGAGAAGAAUCAAUGGAAGCAGUUAAGUAAGAAGGAGAGGAAGCUGGGGAAUUGACUAAGGAGUAACAGUAGAGGUCGACCAAGCACUGCCAAUCAGAAUGUCCCUAAAGAGAGUCAAAGCCUACAACCACUGCUAACGAGUCUAUCCGACCCGAGUCUAAGAAUCAAACUAGUGAAACUCAGCCUUAAACUCUAACCUAGGAAUACGGAAUUACAGAAUGAGUUUACAUAGCGGAGGGAUAUCCUGAGUGAGAUUAGAUGGAGUGGGGAUCUUUCUUACUAACUACUUACAACGUUGCUUGUCGGCCGAACACAGGCAUUGAAGUCACCAGUUACCUUAUUCUAUGAAACCAGUUACCUUAUUCUAUUUAUUGUAUAUGAAUAGUUACUUCACACUGUAUUAGUACUAAGAGAAGUGAGUAUUAGUAGAUUCAUUGGGUACAAUCUAGCGCAUCUAGUAGAAGACACAGAAUUUCACUCCCCGGACUAACGCUUUGAACUCGCUACCGCUACACAUUUCAUUAGUAGUUUCUUCUGCCCUUCCCUGGCUAGUAUAGUCGUUUCUUCUUCCCCGAACUCAACUUCUAUUUGAACAACUCCCUUUCCUUUGCAAUGGAAUCUCCAUCUAAUUACCUAUGAGCUUCUCUUUUGAAAACCUCAACUCUCACUGCUCCUGACGCAGACGCUGAUGCGCUAAUAGGAAUUGUGGAAUCGAAUCCACCCUAUCUCUAUAUCUAUCUCUUAUUACCAAUUAUUUCUAUAUCAUAACCCUUAUCUUUUACUUGCGCUUACGGAGCUCAUCACCUUGUUCUUUGGCUUCUAAACUAACUUAUUGCUUUCCCUAACCAUAACAACCUUAGGCUAGAUCGAAAGCAACAAACAAUGGAACAACCUUUAUUGCAUUUGAGUCCAGAAAGCUUCAAGUAAGGGCAGAGGUUCUCAUGCCAAGAAAGAAAGAAAGAUUAUUUGAUUAAAGGCAACGGACGGAGUUUGUUUACGUUCCUAUAUAUCUCUAUUUGUGUAAUGCUAAUGCUAUAGAAUAUGAAAAUGAUAUACUUCACUACACCGAACAAGCAAAGCAGAAAAGCUACAAUAAUACUGAUAAAUAAACUACACUGAGAAGAUACCGCGUAGUGAACAGACGUCAAGCCAAUCACUGAUCUCGCUGCUGCACUUAUAAGAAAUACUUCCGGACUUUGAAUCUACUUUACUUAUAUUCUGACUUGAGAGUUUAUGACUUGAGAGUUUAUGACUUGAGAGUUGCAUUCUGGAUUCUAUAAUUCCUUAUUUCUUGUUGAUGUUCAAAUGCUUUUGAGCCUUCUAACAUAGACGACCUGAUCUGAGAGACCAGACCUUCUUCUUAACAUAGACGACCUGAGCUGAGAGACCAGACCUUCUUAACAUAGACCUGAGCUGAGAGUAAAGUAAGUCAUAUCCAAAUAUGGUUCUGGAAUGAUUUCCCGCCCUAUACUGGACCAUCGGAAAGAGGCACCCUAUACUAUUGACUAAUCACUCUUUUCGGUAACUAAGCAAUAAUGAAGAGUAAGCUCUAAGCUGUUUGGUUAUUCGCGGAGUGUUUAUUUCAUCUGUACCUAAGCUGCUUUCAUAUGUACCUUGUGUUGGUACCUAAGCAGUAAGAUGUGUUGUUACUAUACUUAGAAUAGAAGAUGGAUCCACACUACAUAUCUUAUUAAAGAAAGAAAGGCUGGACAAUAAGUAUCUUUAAGCAAUGCGGGCAAGGCAGGACAGACAAUAAGUAUCUUUAAGCAAUGCUAUUUGUUGACUCUUUAUUCUAUGUGCGUGUGUAACGCUCUCUCUUUUAUUCAAUGCUGUUUGUUUACUUCUUUUCUUUAGUUCUACUGGUUCGCUAUUAUACUUACUUCAGAAUCGAACUAGUGCUUAUGAGACUCGGCUUGGUGCUAAUAAGAAUGCCCUCCCUGCCUCUUCUUCUAAGACCCCUGAGCCGAGAUCCUUAACAGCUUGGGAGAAUAGUAGGUAUAUUGCCCUAUAACUAUCGAUCUUGCUUUACGGCAUCUUAGCCUGUCUUUGCUGUCUUUGAUUCUAGGACUGCUGCAUCUCGGAUCGACCCUUUCUCUUUUAAUAAGGAAUUGUAAACAGACAUAACUUCUAAUAACUCACAAGUAUUGUGAGUGGAGCUCCCGCCGAGUAUCAAUGGUGGAUGAGCUAUGAGUUUCAUUGAACAGAGGUCUGGAGACGAGAAGGAAACUUUCUGAAGCCUGAACCUUAAUGCUUGUUUGAACCUCACCUAUUACUGCUUACUCACUUUCGAAAGCUUCUUCUAAGGCUGCUGAUUCCUCUAAAUAACUGGCUGGUUACUUCUCUGGGCGCCAAUACGAGAUUCUCUGAGGAUUAUUAUCCGACUGCUCUUGCUGCUUCCUUUGCCACUUACUUGCGCACAGCUUAUGACACCGAUCGAGCUUAUUCCCGAUGCUCAACGAGACUUGUUCUUUUGCCGAACCUUACUAACGGAUCUUGUUCUUCUUGGGCCUGUCUUCGGUCAACAAAUAUGGAAUGGAAAAACGACUCUCCUGUUCGGCAAGCAUUAACCGCGCUGCGCUGAGAUACUUUAGGACAAGAAAAAUAAAUGGAAUCCUCUUUCGAGCUCCCUAACACCGAAAACAGCACUUGCUUAUUACUCUUAUCUGUAGUUAACACAACGUCUUGCUUAUUGCGCCUGCCCCUCUCCCAGAAAUGACUCUAAACUCCAAUGUAAUAGCUAAUGAUGCGCGCCCUAUCUUCUUCUUUCACUAGCGCCCAACGUCGAGCUCAGUUAGCGAGUUCUUUUUCAUAAAAUAAUGGAACUGGACAUUAGAUAGAAAAUAAGGUAACCAAAGAGAUAGCUAGCUUACAGGAUUUAACAACCAGACUGGAUACUCUACUCUAUUACUUUGACUUUGUCUGAGCUAUAGCGGCACCCGAUCCCGAUCCAACUAGUAACUACAUAGAGGCUCUUUCAACUCCCACUCAGGAUCCAGCGGACUUUCCUCUUACAACAAAAGCACCGAAACAAUUUGUUUAGUUUGAGCAAGAGUAGGAAAGUACUGUUUUCAGCUUCUGUUGAUUGAUUCUUGAGUUGACAACAUACAUAGAUUCCACUCGAACAGUCUAUUUUCCACGAUACUUUGCAUAGAGGUUAAAGGGAAAG
rnacentral:lncRNA from 1 species